AUACCAGCCCCGCGAGUGGUCGGGACGAUUAUUGGGCCUAAAGCGCCCGUAGCCGGCCCGGCAAGUCCCCGCUGAAAUCCCCGGGCUCAACCCGGGGGCGGGCGGGGAUACUGCCGGGCUAGGGGGCGGGAGAGGCCGAGGGUACUCCCGGGGUAGGGGCGAAAUCCGAUAAUCCCGGGAGGACCACCAGUGGCGAAGGCGCUCGGCUGGAACGCGCCCGACGGUGAGGGGCGAAAGCCGGGGGAGCGAACCGGAUUAGAAACCCUUGUAGUCC
rnacentral:rRNA from 1 species